UAAUUAAUACUAUAACUGAGACUGGGAUUCUCACGAGCGACAUCGCCCCUUUCAGGUGCGCCAAAGGCAAGCCUGACAGAUGGGAAGCUGGGCGUCUCCCAGACCAAGGCCAACAUGCAGCAGUAAACACUUUUGAAGCUGCGUUGUGGGGGAUUGCCUGUGGCAGGGUGUGUGAAGAGAGGAAGGAAGGAGAAGGCCAAAAGGGUGGCCAGAAGCUGCGCAGCGGUCACACAACACAGUCAAGAAUAUGACAUUUCCUCACCAAAGUUGUGUCAUUGGAAACACAAUAUGAAGACAGAAGAUGAACACUCGCCUGCUGAGGGUGUUGCCGGUGGCCACUCCAGGCAAGCAGGGGUGAGAACGCUGCCUUCUAUCACGCUGCAGAAGGAAGAAGAGGACUUUGCCUGCCUUUGCUGCUCUGCCCCUCCACAGUGAAGGGGCAAGCAUGCUUCAUCUAUCC